rnacentral:rRNA from 1 species
AUUGAACGCUGGCGGCAGGCUUAACACAUGCAAGUCGAGCGGGGGAAGGUAGCUUGCUACCGGACCUAGCGGCGGACGGGUGAGUAAUGCUUAGGAAUCUGCCUAUUAGUGGGGACAACAUCUCGAAAGGGAUGCUAAUACCGCAUACGUCCUACGGGAGAAAGCAGGGGAUCUUCGGACCUUGCGCUAAUAGAUGAGCCUAAGUCGGAUUAGCUAGUUGGUGGGGUAAAGGCCUACCAAGGCGACGAUCUGUAGCGGGUCUGAGAGGAUGAUCCGACACACUGGGACUGGGACACGGCCCAGACUCCUACGGGAGGCAGCAGUGGGGAAUAUUGGACAAUGGGGGGAACCCUGAUCCAGCCAUGCCGCGUGUGUGAAGAAGGCCUUAUGGUUGUAAAGCACUUUAAGCGAGGAGGAGGCUACUUUAGUUAAUACCUAGAGAUAGUGGACGUUACUCGCAGAAUAAGCACCGGCUAACUCUGUGCCAGCCGCCGCGGUAA